rnacentral:lncRNA from 1 species
AGAGGAUUCGAAGACCCCAGCUAAAGGGAACGCGGAAGGAAAUCCUCCUGGGAAGGCAAGCACAAUAGAACUGGGAGGAACUGGAAUAAGAAAACCGGACAACGCUCCAAGGAGGAGAGAAAAAUCUACCCCGAAGAGAAAAGCCAGCAAAGGAUAAGAAAUAUGCUUUAAAUGGGCAGACAACGAAAGCAAAAUGAGUCCAGAACUAAAAAUUCUAUGUAGGAAAAACAAAAAAUAAUGACGAGAAGAAAUUUUUUCCUAAAACUGCCAAAAAGGAGAACAAAAAUAAAAAAGAAUUUAGAAAGGAAACGAGGAAGAGAGAGAGAAACAAAAGAAAAAGCUACUGAACAUGCUAGAAGAACAGAAAGUGAAGGGAGAAAAGAAAGAAGGCCAAUUAAAUCAGACAAGAAAUAUAAAGAAGACAUCAGGUUCAUUCAGACCGUAUUGUCAGAAAAGGAGCCAACAUUUGAGGGGUGGAAACCUUGUCAUUUUCACCUUUAAAUCAUCUCCUGGCGUCACCUCUGCCUGACGAGACCUUUGAAGUGAUGGUGAGAUAAUGUGCAGCUUCCUGAUGAGAAUCAGUUUAUAGUCACCAAUGGACCAUCCCCACUCCGUGCCUUCACAGCAGAGUUAGGCAGGGAAAUGUAAGAGCUGGGCUGCUAUACGGUGCUGUAAGUAGCAGUAGUCUGUUUCAAUACAUCCCUCCUCUCUAAAGUAUCACAUGUCUUAAAGUGACAUUACCUCCUAUUACAGUGCCUGUGAAUUCUAAUAUCUGUCCCUAACUCUUAAAGAACUCAAGCAGUGCUUUAACUCUAUAUUGCCUGAUGUAUUAUGUUAGAGCAUUUUCUGAUUCUAUUCAUUUGCCAAAGCAGUAAAGAAAGAAAGGAGAAACAAAAGAAAAAAAUACUUCGCAAAAUAUUGAUAGUGUUAAUGGGUGUUAGGCUUCUAACAGUAAAUAGGAAAAUGAAAUGUAUGCUAUUUAUUACCUCUUAAUGUUCUUUCAGUCUGUAAGUUAACAAAAACUAUCAUUAGCCUUAUACUAAUUUAAUUCUCUUUGUUAAUUUUGCUAAAUCUUGGAAUAGAAUAUAUUGGGGAUACAAUAGAGACAUUUAUGAUUUUAAACCCCCAAAACCUUCCAAGUUUUUUGAACAGGUUUAAUAUGUCGUCUUCAGCACCAGACUGAGAUUUAAUGAAGAAAUAUGCUCAAGAUUCUUGUUUUUAAAUAUUUUGCUUUCCCUAAAAUAACAUACUGGGAUAGAGAGAAGAAACAUUUGAAAGGUCAGUCUUGUUUCUAAUACUAUGGUUUGAAUCCUUCCUCCUUUAGAAAUAUAGUGUGAUUGUACUUAAACUUCAAAGAUGCAUGUAAGGUGACCUACUUUUCAUUUAUAGAUUGCACUAGUACUAAUUCUCUGCAAUAAUCAUUCAGUUGCUUCACAUAUCACUUGUAAAACACCUACUAUGUGAUAGAUUCUUGCAACAGAGCAGAAAGCAUGAUCAAAUUGAUCCUCACUAUCACAGAUCAUAUUGUCUAGUCUUUUAUAUUAUUUUUAAAACUGGGGUAGUUCUCCUAAUUUUCUUCCCUUAAAAACUUUUCAAAAUUUCUUAGGAUAUUCUCUUCCCCUUUGCAGAGAUUAUAAAGAAGGUUCAGUGCUGUUGUGCAUCUUUGGAAACUAUUAUCUUUUCUUGUGUUACACAGGGUGAAACAGAAGGAGGUCCUCAUUACUCAUUAUUUUUCCCAUUGGCUAUUCACACUGUACAAAACAAAUUAAGAGAUCUUUGUAACAUAACAAUUGUUCAUCAAAACUUGGAAAUAAAUAAAUUUCAAAAUUACAGUAAAUAUUAAUCUAAGACUAAUCUCAGAAAGCCAUAGUUCUACUUGGUGUUGCAUAUUUCAUUUCUGUAGUUCAUUACUAUUCUUAGUGUGCGUAUUUAGAAAGUUUACACUAAGUGUGUAGUACAAGGCACAAAUAAUAACCACAACAGCAGCAGAUACUGCUUACCAAACCUUCACUAUGUGCUAGUUCUAUUCUAUACUAUGUCUUGUAAAGUAUAAUUUCAUCAUUUUUACUAAUCCCUUAAGAUGAAUAGUAUUAUUAUUUCUAUCUCUCCAAUGCGAAACAUGGGACAAAGAAAGAAUAGCCAAAGAACUUAUUCAAGAUAACUGAGUUAUGGAGAGAUAAAGCAGAUUUCAAACCCAUAUGAUCUGGCUGAAAAGCUCAUUUCUUUUAUUGAUUGACUGAUUGCAUUUGGGGAUAAACCCCAGGGAUUCACAUGCACCCCUCGCCAAAGAGUCUGUCUUGUAAACAGUGAGUUAAAGUACUUUAUAGAAAAAAUAAUUUUUAAAAAAUCUACCACUAUACUGUCUUAUUUCUUUAACAUUAAAACAGUCACAAAAAUUGCUAUUCAUUUAUUCAAGAGGCAUAUAUUACUUUAGGCAUUUGAAAUAUACAAGUGGG